GCGGAGGAAAAGAAACCAACCGGGAUUGCCUCAGUAACGGCGAGUGAAGCGGCAAGAGCUCAAAUUUGAAAUCUGGCCCCUCCGGGGUCCGAGUUGUAAUUUGCAGAGGAUGCUUCGGGUGCGGCCCCUGUCUAAGUGCCCUGGAACGGGCCGUCAGAGAGGGUGAGAAUCCCGUCUUGGGCAGGGUGCCCGUGCCCGUGUGAAGCUCCUUCGACGAGUCGAGUUGUUUGGGAAUGCAGCUCUAAAUGGGUGGUAAAUUUCAUCUAAAGCUAAAUACCGGCCGGAGACCGAUAGCGCACAAGUAGAGUGAUCGAAAGAUGAAAAGCACUUUGAAAAGAGAGUUAAACAGCACGUGAAAUUGUUGAAAGGGAAGCGCUUGCGACCAGACUCGGCCCCGGGGUUCAGCCAGCACUCGUGCUGGUGUACUUCCCCGGGGGCGGGCCAGCGUCGGUUUGGGCGGCCGGUCAAAGGCCCCAGGAAUGUGUCGCCCUCCGGGGCGUCUUAUAGCCUGGGGUGCAAUGCGGCCAGCCCGGACCGAGGAACGCGCUUCGGCACGGACGCUGGCGUAAUGGUCGCAAACGACCCGUCUUGAAACACGGACCAAGGAGUCUAACAUCUACGCGAGUGUUCGGGUGUCAAACCCGUACGCGCAGUGAAAGCGAACGGAGGUGGGAGCCCCGCAAGGGGCGCACCAUCGACCGAUCCUGAUGUCUUCGGAUGGAUUUGAGUAAGAGCGUAGCUGUGGGGACCCGAAAGAUGGUGAACUAUGCCUGAAUAGGGCGAAGCCAGAGGAAACUCUGGUGGAGGCUCGCAGCGGUUCUGACGUGCAAAUCGAUCGUCAAAUUUGGGUAUAGGGGCGAAAGA
rnacentral:rRNA from 1 species